rnacentral:rRNA from 1 species
AUUGAACGCUGGCGGCAUGCCUUACACAUGCAAGUCGAACGGUAACAGGUCUUCGGAUGCUGACGAGUGGCGAACGGGUGAGUAAUACAUCGGAACGUGCCUAGUAGUGGGGGAUAACUACUCGAAAGAGUGGCUAAUACCGCAUGAGAUCUACGGAUGAAAGCAGGGGAUCGCAAGACCUUGUGCUAUUAGAGCGGCCGAUGGCAGAUUAGGUAGUUGGUGGGAUAAAAGCUUACCAAGCCGACGAUCUGUAGCUGGUCUGAGAGGACGAUCAGCCACACUGGGAAUGAGACACGGCCCAGACUCCUACGGGAGGCAGCAGUGGGGAAUUUUGGACAAUGAGCGCAAGCCUGAUCCAGCAAUGCCGCGUGCAGGAAGAAGGCCUUCGGGUUGUAAACUGCUUUUGUACGGAACGAAAAGCCCCGGGUUAAUACCCUGGGGUCAUGACGGUACCGUAAGAAUAAGCACCGGCUAACUACGUGCCAGCAGCCGCCGUAA